GACGAACGCUGGCGGCGUGCUUAACACAUGCAAGUCGAACGGAAAGGCCCUGCUUUUGUGGGGUGCUCGAGUGGCGAACGGGUGAGUAACACGUGAGUAACCUGCCCUUGACUUUGGGAUAACUUCAGGAAACUGGGGCUAAUACCGGAUAGGAGCUCCUGCUGCAUGGUGGGGGUUGGAAAGUUUCGGCGGUUGGGGAUGGACUCGCGGCUUAUCAGCUUGUUGGUGGGGUAGUGGCUUACCAAGGCUUUGACGGGUAGCCGGCCUGAGAGGGUGACCGGCGACAUUGGGACUGAGGGAGGGCCCAGACGCCUACGGGAGGCAGCAGUGGGGAGUAUUGCACAGUGGGCGGAAGCGUGAUGCAGCAACGCCGCGUGCGGGAUGACGGCCUUCGGGGUGUAAACCGCUGUCGCCGGUGACGAAGCGGGAGUGACGGUAAUGGAUAAAGAAGCACCGGCUAACUACGUG
rnacentral:rRNA from 1 species